UACGUAGGCAGCGAGCGUUGUUCGGAAUUACUGGGCGUAAAGAGUGUGUAGGCGGUGCUCUAAGUCUGUUGUGAAAUCUCCCGGCUUAACUGGGAGGGUGCGGCGGAGACUGGAGUGCUAGAGUGUGGGAGAGGUAAGCGGAAUUCCUGGUGUAGCGGUGAAAUGCGUAGAUAUCAGGAGGAACACCUGUGGUGUAGACAGCUUACUGGACCACGACUGACGCUGAGACACGAAAGCGUGGGUAGCAAACAGG
rnacentral:rRNA from 1 species